GAUGAACGCUGGCGGCGUGCCUAAUACAUGCAAGUCGAGCGAACGGACGAGAAGCUUUCCUCUCUGAUGUUAGCGUCGGACGGGUGAGUAAAACGUGGAUAACCUACCUAUAAGACUGGGAUAACUUCGGGGAACCGGAGCUCAUACCGGAUGAUAUUUUUAACCUCAUGGUUCAAAAGUGAAAGACGGUCUUGCUGUCACUUAUACAUGGAUCCGCGCUGCAUUAGCCAGUUGGUAAGGUAACGGCUUACCAAGGCAACGAUGCAUAGCCGACCUGAGAGGGUGAUCGGCCACACUGGAACUGAGACACGGUCCAGACUCCUACGGGAGGCAGCAGUAGGGAAUCUUCCGCAAUGGGCGAAAGCCUGCCGGAGCAACGCCGCGUGGUUGAUGAGGGUCUUCGGAUCGUAAAACUCUGUUAUUAGGGAAGAACAUAUGUGUAAGAAACUGUGCAAGUAUUGACGGUACCUAAUCAGAAAGCCACGGCUAACUACGUG
rnacentral:rRNA from 1 species